rnacentral:rRNA from 1 species
GACGAACGCUGGCGGCGUGCUUAACACAUGCAAGUCGAACGGAAAGGCCCUGCUUUUGUGGGGUGCUCGAGUGGCGAACGGGUGAGUAACACGGGAGUAACCUGCCCUUGACUUUGGGAUAACUUCAGGAAACUGGGGCUAAUACCGGAUAGGAGCUCCUGCUGCAUGGUGGUGGUUGGAAAGUUUCGGCGGUUGGGGAUGGACUCGCGGCUUAUCAGCUUGUUGGUGGGGUAGUGGCUUACCAAGGCUUUGACGGGUAGCCGGCCUGAGAGGGUGACCGGCCACAUUGGGCCUGAGAUACGGCCCAGACUCCUACGGGAGGCAGCAGUGGGGAAUAUUGCACAAUGGGCGGAAGCCUGAUGCAGCAACGCCGCGUGCGGGAUGACGGCCUUCGGGUUGUAAACCGCUUUCGCCUGUGACGAAGCGUGAGUGACGGUAAUGGGUAAAGAAGCACCGGCUAACUACGUG